rnacentral:rRNA from 1 species
AUACCUACGGGGCGCAGCAGUAGGGAAUUUUCGUCAAUGGGCGCAAGCCUGAACGAGCAAUGCCGCGUGAACGAGGAAGGUCUUCGGAUCGUAAAGUUCUGUUGAAGGGGAAAAAGAGCGGAGAGAGGAAAUGGUCUCCGAUCGAUAUUACCCUUCGAGGAAGCCACGGCUAACUACGUGCCAGCAGCCGCGGUAAUACGUAGGUGGCGAGCGUUAUCCGGAAUGAUUGGGCGUAAAGGGUGCGUAGGCGGCCUGAUAAGUCUGGAGUGAAAGGCACCGGCUAAACCGGUACAGUAUCUGGAAAA